GCGAUAAUAUCGCAAUUACUAUGUCAAAUGAUCCUGAAAUUUCAUCAUACUUGCGUCAGUUGAUUCAAGUCCAAAUUAAAGCUCCCAUAAAUUCUGAAUUUCAGUCCAUUUUGCGAACGCAGACUCAUCAAAUACAAAGCUUUUUUUAAACCCUGACUUUCAUCAACCCAAUUGCAUUCAUAUGCUGCCAUAGAAGCCUAUGAGGCUAUUGUGAGAUCUGAGGUUUUUAAGCCUCAAAGAGACCUGGAAAUAGUUGUCAUUUCCGGUUUAUCAUUUAAGAGAUCUAAACGAAGUAAUCGGUUGGCACUCAGGGAGCCCUCGUAGGUCUCAAACUUCAUUAUCCGGAUAGUCCUUAAUUUAGCCUCACAAAUGGCGCGUAUGACAGGGAAGAGUGUGCCAAAAUGGAUCGAUGGGGCAAGAUGGAACAAUGAAAAGUGACAACGUGACAUAGUUCAAGCGGAAAGAAAAACAUUUUUUUCACCUCUCGUUUAAAUGAACUUCUCUUGAUUUAUUGCCUCGUUUAUUUAUUCUGUUUUGUCAUAUGUUAUACUCAACAGAAACGAAACAUAUGACUUCACUCCAACUGCCUAUCCUGCGAUCUAUCUUUUUUCGAUUGACAGUAAUGAGUAAAUACAUAAUAGUAUGUCUGCGAGCAGCUACUCACUUAUCUUUACAAUUCCAAGUAUAAUUUUCGCUCAAACAUGCAAUUAAUAGCAAAGUAAUAAAUUAUCUUACUCUAUAUCAGAUUUUCCAUCAUGAUUUGAUGACGCUGAAGACUGAAAAUGAAGCAAAUGUUAUUAGUAAUUAUGCUCGGAUUCAACAUUUAAAUUCUCUUGGCAGACGUCACACUCAUUUAUUCCUGUGAAAAGGUCCCGAAUUCAAGAUACACCGAUUCUUCAAUGUGAAUGUGAACCUACUCACGCAAGUAUGACCCGGUUCUACGAUUAAAUUAAGGAUAAUUACAUCACCAUAACUACUAUAUAUUUUUAUUCACAGAUUUUCACCAGCGCAGCAAAAUUCUUCACUGCCUUAAACAAUCUAUCGUAACCUAUUAAAUCUCUCAAAUAAAAUAAUUAAUAAUUAGCAAUGACAACCACUUCUCAAACUCUGUAGAUAGCAAUAAAAUUUAAAUAAUAGGAAACUUAUCCG